rnacentral:rRNA from 1 species
CAGUCGUACGCUUCUUUUUCCCCGGAGCUUGCUCCACCGGAAAAAGAAGAGUGGCGAACGGGUGAGUAACACGUGGGUAACCUGCCCAUCAGAAGGGGAUAACACUUGGAAACAGGUGCUAAUACCGUAUAACAAUCGAAACCGCAUGGUUUUGAUUUGAAAGGCGCUUUCGGGUGUCGCUGAUGGAUGGACCCGCGGUGCAUUAGCUAGUUGGUGAGGUAACGGCUCACCAAGGCCACGAUGCAUAGCCGACCUGAGAGGGUGAUCGGCCACAUUGGGACUGAGACACGGCCCAAACUCCUACGGGAGGCAGCAGUAGGGAAUCUUCGGCAAUGGACGAAAGUCUGACCGAGCAACGCCGCGUGAGUGAAGAAGGUUUUCGGAUCGUAAAACUCUGUUGUUAGAGAAGAACAAGGAUGAGAGUAACUGUUCAUCCCUUGACGGUAUCUAACCAGAAAGCCACGGCUAACUACGUGCCAGCAGCCGCGGUAAUACGUAGGUGGCAAGCGUUGUCCGGAUUUAUUGGGCGUAAAGCGAGCGCAGGCGGUUUCUUAAGUCUGAUGUGAAAGCCCCCGGCUCAACCGGGGAGGGUCAUUGGAAACUGGGAGACUUGAGUGCAGAAGAGGAGAGUGGAAUUCCAUGUGUAGCGGUGAAAUGCGUAGAUAUAUGGAGGAACACCAGUGGCGAAGGCGGCUCUCUGGUCUGUAACUGACGCUGAGGCUCGAAAGCGUGGGGAGCAAACAGGAUUAGAUACCCUGGUAGUCCACGCCGUAAACGAUGAGUGCUAAGUGUUGGAGGGUUUCCGCCCUUCAGUGCUGCAGCUAACGCAUUAAGCACUCCGCCUGGGGAGUACGACCGCAAGGUUGAAACUCAAAGGAAUUGACGGGGGCCCGCACAAGCGGUGGAGCAUGUGGUUUAAUUCGAAGCAACGCGAAGAACCUUACCAGGUCUUGACAUCCUUUGACCACUCUAGAGAUAGAGCUUCCCCUUCGGGGGCAAAGUGACAGGUGGUGCAUGGUUGUCGUCAGCUCGUGUCGUGAGAUGUUGGGUUAAGUCCCGCAACGAGCGCAACCCUUAUUGUUAGUUGCCAUCAUUCAGUUGGGCACUCUAGCAAGACUGCCGGUGACAAACCGGAGGAAGGUGGGGAUGACGUCAAAUCAUCAUGCCCCUUAUGACCUGGGCUACACACGUGCUACAAUGGGAAGUACAACGAGUCGCGAAGUCGCGAGGCUAAGCUAAUCUCUUAAAGCUUCUCUCAGUUCGGAUUGUAGGCUGCAACUCGCCUACAUGAAGCCGGAAUCGCUAGUAAUCGCGGAUCAGCACGCCGCGGUGAAUACGUUCCCGGGCCUUGUACACACCGCCCGUCACACCACGAGAGUUUUAACACCCGAAGUCGGUGA